GGCGGCGGCGCUUUGCGGCUGGUCGUGCGGGUCGGGCGCGGGCGGGCAGGCUCGGCGGCUGAGGCGCGCACAGGUGAUUGACUGGCCAGCUGGCUGAGGCACCGCCUGGUCCUCAUUGCUGGCAGGUGGCGGGACCCAUUUGGGCGGCGGUGGAGGCGACGGCGGCGGCAGCGGUGGCCGGGCUCAGGAGGCACUCCCCGGGCCAAGGCCAUGGCACCGCGGCUGCAGCUGGAGAAGGCGGCCUGGCGCUGGGCGGAGACGGUGCGGCCCGAGGAGGUGUCGCAGGAGCACAUCGAGACCGCCUACCGCAUCUGGCUGGAGCCCUGCAUCCGCGGCGUGUGCAGACGAAACUGCAAAGGAAAUCCAAAUUGCUUGGUUGGGAUUGGUGAACACAUUUGGUUAGGAGAAAUAGAUGAAAAUAGUUUUCAUAACAUUGAUGACCCCAACUGUGAGAGGAGAAAAAAGAACUCAUUUGUGGGCCUCACUAACCUUGGAGCCACUUGUUACGUCAACACUUUUCUCCAAGUGUGGUUUCUUAACCUGGAGCUUCGGCAGGCGCUCUACUUAUGUCCAAGCACCUGUAGUGACUACAUGAUGGGAGAUAGCAUCCAAGAAGAAAAAGAUUAUGAGCCUCAAACGAUUUGUGAGCAUCUCCAGUACUUAUUUGCCUUGUUACAAAACAGUAAUAGGCGAUACAUCGAUCCGUCUGGAUUUGUGAAAGCCUUGGGCUUGGACACAGGGCAACAGCAGGAUGCCCAAGAAUUUUCAAAGCUCUUUAUGUCUCUUUUGGAAGAUACUUUGUCUAAACAAAAGAAUCCUGAUGUGAGGAACAUUGUCCAACAGCAGUUCUGUGGGGAAUAUGCUUAUGUAACUGUCUGCAACCAGUGUGGCAGAGAAUCUAAGCUUUUAUCAAAAUUUUAUGAACUGGAGUUAAAUAUCCAAGGCCACAAACAGUUAACAGAUUGUAUCUCGGAAUUUUUGAAGGAAGAAAAAUUAGAAGGAGACAAUCGAUACUUUUGUGAAGACUGUCAAAGCAAACAGAAUGCAACAAGGAAGAUCCGGCUCCUUAGUCUUCCUUGCACUCUGAACUUGCAGCUGAUGCGUUUUGUCUUUGACAGGCAAACUGGACAUAAGAAAAAGCUGAAUACCUACAUUGGCUUCUCAGAAAUUUUGGAUAUGGAGCCGUAUGUGGAGCACAAAGGUGGGUCCUAUGUGUAUGAACUCAGCGCGGUCCUCAUACACAGAGGAGUGAGUGCUUAUUCUGGCCACUACAUUGCCCACGUGAAAGACCCACAGUCUGGCGAAUGGUAUAAGUUUAAUGACGAAGACAUAGAAAAGAUGGAGGGGAAGAAAUUGCAACUAGGGAUUGAGGAAGAUCUAGCAGAACCUUCCAAGUCCCAGACACGUAAACCUAAGUGUGGCAAAGGAACUCACUGCUCUCGAAACGCAUACAUGUUGGUUUAUAGACUACAAACUCAAGAAAGACCCAGCACGACUAUUCAGGUACCAGCCUUUCUUCAGGAGCUGGUAGAUCGAGAUAAUUCCAAAUUUGAGGAGUGGUGUGUGGAAAUGGCCGAGAUGCGUAAGCAGAGUGUGGAUAAAGGAAAGGCAAAGCACGAAGAAGUGAAGGAGCUGUACCAAAGGUUACCUGCUGGAGCUGGUCUGUAAGAUAUUCUGGGACAGCAGUGUUGCCAUAAGUGCCUUGUUUCUUUCAUGUCCACAAAUGUACACGAGCAAACGUUCCCCCGCCCACCCUUACUUAUAACCCGCUAAUAGCCAGCUUCUGCCCUGUACACUUACUAUGUAAACCAGCGUUAACUUAAUGUGUAGCAUUCCGUAUAAUUCUUAUCAUGUACUUUUACAAAUGGGAAGCUCUUAAUAAAUUAUGAGGUUUAGGUCAGCACUCUGCAUAUAUAACUCUUACAAGUAUUUCUAAUUUGUGAGACAUUAGCCUAUUUUUAAAAGAAAAAAUCUGUUCAGGCUACAAUGGAAGCAACUCACCUAGUCUCUUUCCUUGCAUACUUUGUGCGCUAACAGUAUUAACAGGCAUUCUUUUAUAUGAGUGCUCGUUUUAUGAUACUGUUAGAUUAUUCUGAAAUUGAAUAUCGAAUAGUCUAAGAAUAGGAAAACUUUCUGCUGACACCUAAUUUCUUAAGAAUUAUCCCACACAGUCCAGCUCAUUCUUUUACUAUGUAUGUUUAUUCAAGUCUAUCUAAUGCCUCAUAAAGGAAACCUCAACUUUUUAAGGCUGGUAUGCCAUUUGUUAAUAAUAUAUUUUCUGUCAUUUCAUAGGCAAUGCCCCAUACCCAACUCCUACUUAAAAAAGAGACAGUUUUACUAAUUUUAGAGAAUAAAUACUCAAGCAUAGCUGUACUUGUGGUUUUGUUGUUUUGAUAUCUCAGUUUUCCAUUACUGGUAUAACUUUUAGCAAAAAAUGAAUAUCAAUUGCUACAUCUGUAAAAAUAUCUUUCAAAAGUUCUGUCUAAACUGUACCUUAAUUUGAUUCUCAGCUUUCUUUGUAACUUGUUAUUCUCACUCUGUUUCAAGAGUUGGGAUUAUCAUAAAGAAUUAGGCUGACCUUAAUUUUACUGGAAACAGUUUGGAAGUGAACAUGUAAUUCAAAUCGCUAAAUUUAUUCAAAGGAAUUGGUACCUCAAAAUCUAUUCUGGACUUUGUUCAUAGUUUCCUGGAUUCACAGGACAAGAGAAAGGACUUACUGGGUCUAUAAACUAAAAUGCUAUUUUUGAGUCAUGCUUUAAAACCUCAUGGUCCAAAGAUGUUACGUGUCAAAUUUACACUGUACUCCUCUUGGCUGUUUUCAUUCUACCUAUAAGAACCUGUACUUAUGUUCUUCAAAUAUGUAUAUAUGUUAUCAAUAUUCUUGCCAGUUAUGAGCAUUAUUUUUCAUAUUUACAGUUAGCAUACGUGGUAGAAAGUCCAUGUUUUCCUAAAAUAUUGUCGAUCUCAAAAUUAAUGACCAUGGUUUUGUGCUGCCAAUCAAAUCUUGUUAUGUUUUUUCCUAAAUCUUUGUGAACAUUAAAAGAAGGGUCAUUUACUAUAAAGUAUGAACCUCACCAGAAACCAGAACACUUUUGGCCCUUUUUAUUUAAAUUGAAAUAAAUUCUUUUUUAAUAAUCCUAAAUUAUCUCUAGGUAAGUUCUUUCAGAUAUUUUUGAUGCCAUGGUCUUUCUAGACUUCAUUCCUUUUCAAAAGAAAGUUCCUGUUUGAAAUCCAGGCAUUUAAAACUAUAUAUAAGUAACUUUGAACCAUAGUAUACAUUUUCCUUUGGUAAAUAUUUUAAUAGCUGUUUUCUUAUUUCAUCAGAUGCUGAGAUUUUUAUACAGUUUGUUAUCCCAGCUUGACAGAGUUCUUCCUCCUGUUUGUUAGUUGAUUAUCCAUGCUUUGGAAUCACAAUAAUAGAGAACAUCUCUGAGAAACUGCCAGGAGUCUUUGUUUAGUGUAGACCCCAGUUGUUAGGGAGACUCUUGGUAGAAAUUGAUACAGCUCUUUCAAGGUUUUUCUGAUCUUCAUAUCUUGUAUUGAUAGCCUUGAGAUUGCUAAAAGUUUAACCUAUGGGAACUCUCCCUGGGAAAAGAUUAGCUAUGCUAAGAGUUCCUUUUUGCUCUUUUGGAUAGGGAUCAAUUCCACACCAUUAUGUAUUGUAAAAUGCCCCAGUCACGUUACCUGUGCUGAGUCUUAAGGUCUCCACUUUUAUAUAUUGUGCAAAUAUACGAUUAACUUUUCUGUAUCUCUUUUCCUCCAACAAAGCUCAAAAUGCUUCACAUAUCUUAUCUUUUACAUUCAGCAACAUCCCUGUGAGGUAGGUGGAAGGCAGGUAUUAUUACCUUCAUUUUACAAGUAAAAGAUCUGAAGCAUAGAGAGUUCAAGUGACUUGCUCAAGUUCAGUUUCUUGGUGGCAGAACUUGGACUCAACUUGUGGUCCCGGGCUCUUCCUCUGCCGCUCUGUCAGAGCUGACCAAUCAGUUGCGAGGCUCUCAGUUUAUGAUAUACAGUUUUAGCACAAAUAAGGGAUCCAACAGUUCUGAAUUUUGUUUUUGUAAAAAUUGAAAUGUUUUACACUGAACUUAAAAUGGAAGUUAGUUUUCAGACUUGUAAAUUUUCAGGGAAGUGUGAAAUUGGUCAAAAUGGGCUUUGAGUUGAAUUGUCUAUUCCUCAGAUCUCAUCAGAAAUAGUAUCAUAAUACAAAUAUAUAAAUUCAACCUCUGUAUGUUUUCUUCUAUGUUUUAUGCUGGGACUCACUGGAGAUCUUUAGCCCUAUGAAUUUGUCUCUCUUGAGUGGCUGCAGAAGUGGUUGGAUGAGUCAACACCUACCAAGCCUAUUGAUAAUCAUGCUUGCCUGUGUUCCCACGACAAGCUUCAUCCCGAUAAAAUAUCGAUU